rnacentral:rRNA from 1 species
AGUCGAGGGGCAUCAUGAGGUAGCAAUACCUUGAUGGCGACCGGCGCACGGGUGAGUAACGCGUAUGCAACCUGCCCGAUACCGGGGUAUAGCCCAUGGAAACGUGGAUUAACACCCCAUAGUACUUUUAUCCUGCAUGGGAUGUGAGUUAAAUGUUCAAGGUAUCGGAUGGGCAUGCGUCCUAUUAGUUAGUUGGCGGGGUAACAGCCCACCAAGACGAUGAUAGGUAGGGGUUCUGAGAGGAAGGUCCCCCACAUUGGAACUGAGACACGGUCCAAACUCCUACGGGAGGCAGCAGUGAGGAAUAUUGGUCAAUGGACGUAAGUCUGAACCAGCCAAGUCGCGUGAGGGAAGACUGCCCUAUGGGUUGUAAACCUCUUUUAUAAGGGAAGAAUAAGUUCUACGUGUAGAAUGAUGCCUGUACCUUAUGAAUAAGCAUCGGCUAACUCCGUGCCAGCAGCCGCGGUAAUACGGAGGAUGCGAGCGUUAUCCGGAUUUAUUGGGUUUAAAGGGUGCGUAGGCGUUUUAUUAAGUUAGUGGUUAAAUAUUUGAGCU